UACGUAGGGACCAAGCGUUGUUCGGAUUUACUGGGCGUAAAGGGCGCGUAGGCGGCUUGACAAGUCACUUGUGAAAUCUCCGGGCUUAACUCGGAACGGCCAAGUGAAACUGUCAUGCUAGAGUGCAGAAGGGGCAAUCGGAAUUCUUGGUGUAGCGGUGAAAUGCGCAGAUAUCAGGAGGAACACCAGCGGCGAAGGCGGCGCUCUGGGCCGGUACUGACGCUGAGGAGCGAAAGCGUGGGUAGCAAACAGG
rnacentral:rRNA from 1 species